AGCACAGGAUGGGGCGACGGCGGCGCGCGCCUCUCUCGCUCUCUCUCGAAGCGGUGCGCGAACCUACGUCACGUGCGGGGUGGGGAGGGUCGAAAAGAGCCGAGCGCGCUCGUCACUUGUCACGUGGCCGGAGGAGUCUUUGCGGCGCUUAGGAAGGCUGGCUCAUCUCCAUUUCUAAGCCGAAGAGCCGGCGUUGUCCGUUGACGCCUCCGAGGUCAUGUAGCCGGCACGACUGCAUGGCGUGCCCUGACCUUUCAGCCGUAGCGUCCUGUUCCUAGUACUAUUGUGACAGAUGAAGACGAAAACAUGGGGUUUUCGCCAGUUCAACAAGAGCUGGAGUCUCUUCACCUGCCGGAUGUUGACGUUUGCCCUCAAGAAUUCAGUAAAACAGGCCUUGGGCAGAACUCCCCUCCGUUUCCCAGGAAGGAAUCUUAUUCUAGAGACAGGGGAGUUAGAGAGGCCCAACGGAGGAGUUUGAGGAUUGCUGCCAAACAACAAACUGAUUAGGUCUGCUUCCCUUGGGAAAUUCUAAGGAGUCUUGCAUCUGGACAGAGUUGGGUUUCGCUUCUUGUUCUCUAGGGAAAGAGACUUGUUGGCGGGAAAACGAGACCCAAUAUAGGUGUUUGGCGCGAGAGAUUCUUUGCGGAGUCAAUUGAUCAGCUUCAGGAGAGAGAUCGUGUGUGGACUUCGUAACCCCAGUUCCUUGCUUCCCGGAUCAAGUUUUCGAGCCUUGCCUAGCCUUGCAGUUUAACCACGGACCCUGCUCCACGCUUCAUGUUUUGCCUUGUUUCCAGUCACGGACCUAGCCAAGAAUCAAGUUUAUUUCCAGCCUUGCUGUCAAGCUUCAUUGGACUUCUAAGACUCUGACAUUUCCCCACACUAUUGCUUGGCAAGAGUGUGUGUUUCGGUCAAGUGGAUUAAAACUUUGAACUCUAAUAUCAUUUAUUGGACAAUACAUUUUUGGACUAUAUUUGACCUCUUUUGAAAGGUCUGUUUCUGAACUAUAUUCUUCACUUGUUUUUAUUGCUUUUAUAUAUUUCUUUAAUAAAGAUAUUAGAUAGA